rnacentral:rRNA from 1 species
UACAGAGAGUGCAAGCGUUAAUCGGAAUUACUGGGCGUAAAGCGCGCGUAGGUGGAUGCUUAAGUCGGAUGUGAAAGCCCUGGGCUUAACCUAGGAACUGCACCCGAUACUGGGCAUCUAGAGUAUGGUAGAGGGAAGUGGAAUUUCCGGUGUAGCGGUGAAAUGCGUAGAUAUCGGAAAGAACACCAGUGGCGAAGGCG